rnacentral:rRNA from 1 species
CAUGCCCUUUAUGUCCUGGGCUACACACGUACUACAAUGGCCGUUACAACGGGAAGCGAAGGAGCAAUCCGGAGCAAAUCCCUUAAAGGCGGUCCCAGUUCAGAUUGUGGGCUGAAACUCGCCCACAUGAAGGCGGAAUUGCUAGUAAUUGCAGAUCAGCAUGCUGCAGUGAAUACGUUCCCGGGCCUU